rnacentral:rRNA from 1 species
GAUGAACGCUAGCGGCAGGCCUAACACAUGCAAGUCGAGGGGCAUCAUGGCGUAGCAAUACGCUGAUGGCGACCGGCGCACGGGUGCGUAACGCGUGGGGAAUCUACCUCUUUGUGGGGAAUAACGCUCCGAAAGGAGUGGUAAUACCGCAUGAGACCAAUGGCUGGAAUGUUGUUGGUGAAACCUGGGGACCGCAAGGCCUGGGGCAAGGAGAGGAUCCUGCGUCUGAUUAGCUAGUUGGCGGGGUAACGGCCCACCAAGGCGACGAUCAGUAGCCGGCCUGAGAGGGUGAUCGGCCACACUGGAACUGAGACACGGCCCAGACUCCUACGGGGGGCAGCAGUGGGGGAUCUUGCACAAUGGGCGAAAGCCUGAUGCAGCGACGCCGCGUGAGCGAAGAAGGCCUUCGGUUGUUAAGCUCUGUCUGGAGGGACGGAACAAAAUAGACGGUACCGUCCGGACGGGAAGCCACGGCUAACUACGUGCCAGCAGCCGC